AGAGUUUGAUCCUGGCUCAGAUUAAACGCUGGCGGCAUGCCUAACACAUGCAAGUCGAACGAGGUAGCAAUACCUAGUGGCGGACGGGUGAGUAACACGUAGGAAUCUGCCCUAAAAUGGGGGAUAGCCCGGGGAAACUCGGAUUAAUACCGCAUAUGCCCUAAGGGGUAAAGGAGGCCUUCUGGCUUCCGUUUUAGGAUGAGCCUGCGCCAGAUUAGCUAGUUGGUAGGGUAAUAGCCUACCAAGGCGAUGAUCUGUAGCUGGUCUGAGAGGAUGAUCAGCCACACUGGGACUGAGACACGGCCCAGACUCCUACGGGAGGCAGCAGUGGGGAAUAUUGGACAAUGGGGGCAACCCUGAUCCAGCAAUGCCGCGUGUGUGAAGAAGGCCUUCGGGUUGUAAAGCACUUUUAGCAGGGAAGAAAACAGGUGUGUUAAUACCACACUUGCCUGACAUUACCUGCAGAAAAAGCACCGGCUAACUCUGUGCCAGCAGCCGCGGUAAGACAGAGGGUGCAAGCGUUAAUCGGAAUUAUUGGGCGUAAAGCGCACGCAGGUGGAUGAGCAAGUUGGAUGUGAAAGCCCCGGGCUUAACCUGGGAACUGCAUUCAAAACUGCUCGUCUAGAGUACAGUAGAGGGAAGUGGAAUUUCCGGUGUAGCGGUGAAAUGCGUAGAUAUCGGAAGGAACACCAGUGGCGAAGGCGACUUCCUGGACUGAUACUGACACUGAAGAGCGAAAGCGUGGGUAGCAAACAGGAUUAGAUACCCUGGUAGUCCACGCCGUAAACGAUGACAACUAGAUGUUGGGUGGCUCUGCCGCUCAGUGUCGUAGCUAACGCGUUAAGUUGUCCGCCUGGGGAGUACGGUCGCAAGAUUAAAACUUAAAGGAAUUGACGGGGGCCCGCACAAGCGGU
rnacentral:rRNA from 1 species